rnacentral:rRNA from 1 species
GACGAACGCUGGCGGCGUGCUUAACACAUGCAAGUCGAACGGAAAGGCCCUGCUUUUGUGGGGUGCUCGAGUGGCGAACGGGUGAGUAACACGUGAGUAACCUGCCCUUGACUUUGGGAUAACUUCAGGAAACUGGGGCUAAUACCGGAGAGGAGCUCCUGCUGCAUGGUGGGCGUUGGAAAGUUUCGGCGGUUGGGGCUGGACUCGCGGCUUAUCAGCUUGUUGGUGGGGUAGUGGCAUACCAAGGUUUUGACGGGUAGCCGGCCUGAGAGGGUGACCGGCCACAUUAGGCCUGAGAUACGGCCCAGACUCCUACGGGAGGCAGCAGUGGGGAAUAUUGCACAAUGGGCGGAAGCCUGAUGCGGCAACGCCGCGUGCGGGAUGACGGCCUUCGGGUUGUAAACCGCUUUCGCCUGUGACGAAGCGUGAGUGACGGUAAUGGGUAAAGAAGCACCGGCUAACUACGUG